rnacentral:rRNA from 1 species
AACGAACGCUGGCGGCGUGGAUAAGACAUGCAAGUCGGACGAGAUUUUUCGUUGUAGCAAUACGAUGGAAAGUCUAGUGGCGAACGGGUGCUUAACACGUGGGCAACCUGCCGAGAAGUGGGGGACAGCUCGCCGAAAGGCGGAUUAAUACCGCAUGUGAUUAGAGAGGACAUCCUUUCGAAAUUAAAGUCGGGGCAACCUGACGCUUCUUGUGGGGCCCGCGGCCUAUCAGCUAGUUGGUGAGGUAACGGCCCACCAAGGCUUUGACGGGUAGCGGGUCUGAGAGGACGACCAGCCACACUGGGACUGAGACACGGCCCAGACACCUACGGGUGGCAGCAGUCGAGAAUUUUUCUCAAUGGGGGAAACCCUGAAGGAGCGACGCCGCGUGGAGGAUGAAGGUCUUCGGAUUGUAAACUCCUGUCAUUGGGGAACAAUGGUUACGCGUUAACUGCGCGUGACUUGAUAGUACCCGAAGAGGAAGAGACGGCUAACUCUGUGCCAGCCGCCGCCGUAAGAC